UUCGGCCCCGAAAGUGAAGAAAUUUCCACCUCUGGGGUCGACCGAGUGUCUUCAGUCGGAUCACCCGACCGACUACCUCGCGGGGACGUCCUGGCCAUGGAUUCAAGGAAAUGGCGAGGAAGAAAGAAAAGGAAAGUAGGGAAGACUACUCUAGCCCCUAAAAGAAAAGAAUCGCAAAUGGAGGACGGAGCGGAGAAGU
rnacentral:lncRNA from 1 species